CAGUCGCCGCGGGAAUACGAAGGGGGCUAGCGUUGCUCGGAAUGACUGGGCGUAAAGGGCGCGUAGGCGGCGAUCAAAGUCAGGCGUGAAAUUCCUGGGCUCAACCUGGGGGCUGCGUUUGAUACUUGGUUACUAGAGUGAGGAAGAGGGUCGUGGAAUUCCCAGUGUAGAGGUGAAAUUCGUAGAUAUUGGGAAGAACACCGGUGGCGAAGGCGGCGACCUGGUCCUUGACUGACGCUGAGGCGCGAAAGCGUGGGGAGCAAACAGGAUUAGAUACCCGCGUAGUCCCUGUCUCUUAUAC
rnacentral:rRNA from 1 species